CUCGGGAGGAGGGUGUGGGGCCGGGUGUGUGGAUCCUGCGUGUGCUGAAGUGCGUGUGCGUGGGUGACUGAGAGAGAGAGAGAGAACGGUGUGGCCCCCCCCCCCCCCUCGCGUGCGGCGCUUUUUCUUACACAUUGAUCUUAUUUGAUCGGGCCGGGAGGUCGCCGCUCCCUCGGCCUGAAAUGAGAAGAGGCCUUUGCUGUGAAGCCUUCGGGCGCUGUACAGCGAAACGGGUUGCAGGCGGCGCUGAGCCGGAGAUGAUGAAUUGAUCAGAUAGAUGAGGCCGAAUGGAGGCGGGGCUGCUCCUACCUCUCGGCCGGUGCGUACUGAGGCGAUUCUGAUCCGG